CUACGGGGCGCAGCAGUGAGGAAUAUUGGGCAAUGGGCGCAAGCCUGACCCAGCAACGCCGCGUGAGGGAAGAAUGUCUUCGGAUUGUAAACCUCUGUCCUUGGGGACGAAAAAAAUGACGGUACCCAAGGAGGAAGCUCCGGCUAACUACGUGCCAGCAGCCGCGGUAAUACGUAGGGAGCGAGCGUUGUCCGGAAUUACUGGGCGUAAAGGGUGCGUAGGCGGCUAGGCAAGUCAGAUGUGAAAUACCCAGGCUUAACUUGGGGGGUGCAUUUGAAACUGCUUGGCUUGAGUGCAGGAGAGGAAAGCGGAAUUCCUAGUGUAGCGGUGAAAUGCGUAGAUAUUAGGAGGAACACCAGUGGCGAAGGCGGCUUUCUGGACUGCAACUGACGCUGAGGCACGAAAGCGUGGGGAGCAAACAGGAUUAGAUACCCUUGUAGUC
rnacentral:rRNA from 1 species